rnacentral:rRNA from 1 species
ACGGGGGGGGCAAGCGUUGUUCGGAAUUACUGGGCGUAAAGGGCGCGUAGGCGGGCAGGAAAGUCUCUCGUGAAAUCCCACGGCUCAACCGUGGAAUUGCGGGAGAUACUACUUGUCUUGAGUUCGGGAGAGGAGUGUGGAAUUCCCAGUGUAGCGGUGAAAUGCGUAGAUAUUGGGAGGAACACCGGUGGCGAAGGCGGCACUCUGGACCGAUACUGACGCUGAGGCGCGAAAGCUAGGGGAGCAAACGGG